rnacentral:rRNA from 1 species
UACGUAGGGUGCGAACGUUGUUCGGAAUCACUGGGCUUAAAGGGCGCGUAGGCGGGUGCUCAAGUCCGUGGUGAAAUCCUCCGGCUCAACCGGAGAACUGCCUCGGAUACUGGGCGUCUCGAGUGUGGUGAGGGGUAUGCGGAACUAUCGGUGGAGCGGUGAAAUGCGUUGAUAUCGAUAGGAACUCCGGUGGCGAAGGCGGCAUACUGGAC